AUACGUAGGUGACAAGCGUUAUCCGGAUUUACUGGGCGUAAAGGGCGUGUAGGCGGUCUUGCAAGUCAGAAGUGAAAUUCCUGAGCUCAACUCGGGCGCUGCUUCUGAAACUGCAGGACUUGAGUGCUGGAGGGGAUAGCGGAAUUCCUAGUGGAGCGGUAAAAUGCGCAGAUAUUAGGAAGAACACCGGUGGCGAGGGCGGCUAUCUGGACAGUAACUGACGCUGAGGCUCGAAAGCGUGGGGAGCAAACAGGAUUAGAUACCCUGGUAGUCCACGCUGUAAACGAUGAUUACUAGGUGUGGGGGGACUGACCCCUUCCGUGCCGCAGUUAACACAAUAAGUAAUCCACCUGGGGAGUACGGCCGCAAGGUUGAAACUCAAAUGAAUUGACGGGG
rnacentral:rRNA from 1 species